ACCCUAUUCUGUAUUAUUUCUAAAGCUUAAUAUUAUCUUUACUGUUUAGAAACUAAUACAAUCUGUAAGACCAUUAAUAUGAUAAUAAUUUGUCAAAGAGCAUAUAUAUUCAUUAUCAUCACACUAUUUUUUAAAAUGUUCAACUGUAUUUCAUUUCAGUGACGAGUCCUAUGAGGGAUUAUUAUCUUUCUGUAUAUUCAGUUAAGAUUUUGUAUCUGAUUUAAUCCACUGAUUUUUGCAGGCUCAAAAAACUCAGAAACCACCGCAGAAACCAGCCCCUGCAGUUGUUUCUGUAACUCCAGCUGUCAAAGAUCCAUUGGUUAAGAAACCAGAAACUAAACUGAAACAAGAGACAACUUUUCUAGCGUUUAAGAGAACAGAAGUCAAGACAUCCACAGUUAUUUCAGGAAAUUCUUCUAAUGCCAGCGUUUCCUCGUCAGUAACUAGUGGCUUAACUGGAUGGGCAGCUUUUGCAGCCAAAACUUCCUCUGCUGGUCCCUCAACAGCAAAAUUGAGUUCAACAACACAAAACAAUACUGGGAAACCUGCUACUUCGUCAGCUAACCAGAAACCUGUGGGUUUGACUGGUCUGGCAACAUCAUCCAAAGGUGGAAUAGGUUCCAAAAUAGGUUCCAAUAACAGCA
rnacentral:sRNA from 1 species